rnacentral:rRNA from 1 species
AGCAUAUCAAUAAGCGGAGGAAAAGAAACCAACAGGGAUUGCCCUAGUAACGGCGAGUGAAGCGGCAACAGCUCAAAUUUGAAAUCUGGCUCUCUCGGGGCCCGAGUUGUAAUUUGUAGAGGGCGCUUUGGCGUCGGUCGCGGUCUAAGUUCCUUGGAACAGGACGUCACAGAGGGUGAGAAUCCCGUACGUGGCCGCGGUCCGUCGCCGUGUAAAGCCCCUUCGACGAGUCGAGUUGUUUGGGAAUGCAGCUCUAAAUGGGAGGUAAAUUUCUUCUAAAGCUAAAUAUUGGCCAGAGACCGAUAGCGCACAAGUAGAGUGAUCGAAAGAUGAAAAGCACUUUGGAAAGAGAGUCAAAAAGCACGUGAAAUUGUUGAAAGGGAAGCGCUUGCAGCCAGACUUGCCCGCAGUUGCUCACCCGAGCCUUCGGCCCGGGGCACUCUUCUGCGGGCAGGCCAGCAUCAGUUCAGGCGGCCGGACAAAGACCUCUGUCACGUAUCAUCCUUCGGGCUGACCUUAUAGGGGAGGUGUAAUGCGGCCAGCCUGGAUUGAGGUCCGCGCAUCAGCUAGGAUGCUGGCGUAAUGGCUGUAAGCGGCCCGUCUUGAAACACGGACCAAGGAGUCUAACAUCUAUGCGAGUGUUUGGGUGUCAAGCCCGGGCGCGCAAUGAAAGUGAACGGAGGUGGGAACCCCCCGGGGCGCACCAUCGACCGAUCCUGAUGUCUUCGGAUGGAUUUGAGUAAGAGCAUAGCUGUUGGGACCCGAAAGAUGGUGAACUAUGCCUGAAUAGGGUGAAGCCAGAGGAAACUCUGGUGGAGGCUCGCAGCGGUUCUGACGUGCAAAUCGAUCGUCAAAUUUGGGCAUAGGGGCGAAAGACUAAUCGAACUAUCUAGUAGCUGGUUCCUGCCG